rnacentral:rRNA from 1 species
AGUGAACGCUGGCGGUAGGCCUAACACAUGCAAGUCGAACGGCAGCACAGAGGAGCUUGCUCCUUGGGUGGCGAGUGGCGGACGGGUGAGGAAUACAUCGGAAUCUACUCUGUCGUGGGGGAUAACGUAGGGAAACUUACGCUAAUACCGCAUACGACCUACGGGUGAAAGCAGGGGAUCUUCGGACCUUGCGCGAUUGAAUGAGCCGAUGUCGGAUUAGCUAGUUGGCGGGGUAAAGGCCCACCAAGGCGACGAUCCGUAGCUGGUCUGAGAGGAUGAACAGCCACACUGGGACAGAGACACGUUCCAGACUCCUACGGGAGGCAGCAGUGGGGAAUAUUGGACAAUGGGCGCAAGCCUGAUCCAGCCAUACCGCGUGGGUGAAGAAGGCCUUCGGGUUGUAAAGCCCUUUUGUUGGGAAAGAAAUCCAUCUGGCUAAUACCCGGGUGGGAUGACGGUACCCAAAGAAUAAGCACCGGCUAACUUCGUGCCAGCCGCCGCGGUAA